rnacentral:rRNA from 1 species
GGGCGUUAAGUUGCAGGGUAUAGACCCGAAACCCGGUGAUCUAGCCAUGGGCAGGUUGAAGGUUGGGUAACACUAACUGGAGGACCGAACCGACUAAUGUUGAAAAAUUAGCGGAUGACCUGUGGCUGGGGGUGAAAGGCCAAUCAAACCGGGAGAUAGCUGGUUCUCCCCGAAAGCUAUUUAGGUAGCGCCUCGUGAAUUCAUCUCCGGGGGUAGAGCACUGUUUCGGCUAGGGGGCCAUCCCGGCUUACCAACCCGAUGCAAACUGCGAAUACCGGAGAAUGUUAUCACGGGAGACACACGGCGGGUGCUAACGUCCGUCGUGAAGAGGGAAACAACCCAGACCGCCAGCUAAGGUCCCAAAGUCAUGGUUAAGUGGGAAACGAUGUGGGAAGGCCCAGACAGCCAGGAUGUUGGCUUAGAAGCAGCCAUCAUUUAAAGAAAGCGUAAUAGCUCACUGGUCGAGUCGGCCUGCGCGGAAGAUGUAACGGGGCUAAACCAUGCACCGAAGCUGCGGCAGCGAACGUAUCACUUAAAGCGAUUCAGCGGAUGACGAUUGACGGAGCGAAGCGACGUCAAAGCGUAUACAAAGUCGAGUCGGUUUAAGGAUACGUUCGUUGGGUAGGGGAGCGUUCUGUAAGCCUGUGAAGGUGGCCUGUGAGGGUUGCUGGAGGUAUCAGAAGUGCGAAUGCUGACAUAAGUAACGAUAAAGCGGGUGAAAAGCCCGCUCGCCGGAAGACCAAGGGUUCCUGUCCAACGUUAAUCGGGGCAGGGUGAGUCGACCCCUAAGGCGAGGCCGAAAGGCGUAGUCGAUGGGAAACGGGUUAAUAUUCCCGUACUUGGUGUUACUGCGAAGGGGGGACGGAGAAGGCUAUGUUGGCCGGGCGACGGUUGUCCCGGUUUAAGCGUGUAGGUGUGUGUUCCAGGUAAAUCCGGUUCACUUUAACACUGAGGCGUGAYGACGAGGCACUACGGUGCUGAAGCAACAAAUGCCCUGCUUCCAGGAAAAGCCUCUAAGCAUCAGGUAACAUCAAAUCGUACCCCAAACCGACACAGGUGGUCAGGUAGAGAAUACCAAGGCGCUUGAGAGAACUCGGGUGAAGGAACUAGGCAAAAUGGUGCCGUAACUUCGGGAGAAGGCACGCUGACACGUAGGUGAAGUGAUUUACUCAYGGAGCUGAAGUCAGUCGAAGAUACCAGCUGGCUGCAACUGUUUAUUAAAAACACAGCACUGUGCAAACACGAAAGUGGACGUAUACGGUGUGACGCCUGCCCGGUGCCGGAAGGUUAAUUGAUGGGGUCAGCGCAAGCGAAGCUCCUGAUCGAAGCCCCGGUAAACGGCGGCCGUAACUAUAACGGUCCUAAGGUAGCGAAAUUCCUUGUCGGGUAAGUUCCGACCUGCACGAAUGGCGUAAUGAUGGCCAGGCUGUCUCCACCCGAGACUCAGUGAAAUUGAACUCGCUGUGAAGAUGCAGUGUACCCGCGGCAAGACGGAAAGACCCCGUGAACCUUUACUAUAGCUUGACACUGAACAUUGAGCCUUGAUGUGUAGGAUAGGUGGGAGGCUUUGAAGUGUGGACGCCAGUCUGCAUGGAGCCGRCCUUGAAAUACCACCCUUUAAUGUUUGAUGUUCUAACGUGGACCCGURAUCCGGGUUGCGGACAGUGUCUGGUGGGUAGUUUGACUGGGGCGGUCUCCUCCUAAAGAGUAACGGAGGAGCACGAAGGUUGGCUAAUCCUGGUCGGACAUCAGGAGGUUAGUGCAAUGGCAUAAGCCAGCUUGACUGCGAGCGUGACGGCGCGAGCAGGUGCGAAAGCAGGUCAUAGUGAUCCGGUGGUUCUGAAUGGAAGGGCCAUCGCUCAACGGAUAAAAGGUACUCCGGGGAUAACAGGCUGAUACCGCCCAAGAGUUCAUAUCGACGGCGGUGUUUGGCACCUCGAUGUCGGCUCAUCACAUCCUGGGGCUGAAGUAGGUCCCAAGGGUAUGGCUGUUCGCCAUUUAAAGUGGUACGCGAGCUGGGUUUAGAACGUCGUGAGACAGUUCGGUCCCUAUCUGCCGUGGGCGCUGGAGAACUGAGGGGGGCUGCUCCUAGUACGAGAGGACCGGAGUGGACGCAUCACUGGUGUUCGGGUUGUCAUGCCAAUGGCACUGCCCGGUAGCUAAAUGCGGAAGAGAUAAGUGCUGAAAGCAUCUAAGCACGAAACUUGCCCCGAGAUGAGUUCUCCCUGAGACUU